rnacentral:rRNA from 1 species
UACGGGGGGGGGUAAGCGUUGUUCGGAAUUAUUGGGCGUAAAGGGCUCGUAGGCGGACCGGUAAGUCUGGCGUGAAAUCUCCACCGCUCAACGGGGAGAGGCCGUCGGAUACUGCUGGUCUGGAGUACGGUAGAGGACCAUGGAAUUCCAGGUGUAGCGGUGGAAUGCAUAGAUAUCUGGAAGAACACCGGUGGCGAAGGCGGUGGUCUGGGCCUUACCUGACGCUCAGGCGCGAAAGCUAGGGGAGCGAACGUGG